CCCGUGUUGUGUCUGCAGCGCAGGCCCCAUGUGACACACACAGACGCACGGACAAGACAGACAGACAGACAGACAGACAGACAGACGCACAGGAAGAUAAAGGCUAAUUUUUGUGUUUGUACAUCACAUGCUGGAUGGAUUGACUGCAAGAAGUUUCACUUUGUCAGAAAUGAAAAAUGGUAGCAGCAACAGGUGAAGCAAAGCAGGAAGGGGAAGCCAAGGGUGCCAUGUCAAGUACGUGACAGGUGGUCUGUCUGCCCUCUGAUGCUGCUGUACAACUCCUGCUGAACUCAGCGUGGGCUCUCUGACAGUUCCCUGGGUACAGCACAUAUGCAAAUGGUGUCAGCUCAUCUGCUGGCUGGCAGACGGUGAGUUAAGAUUGCCAUUCAUCGCCCGGAGAAGGCUCCGUCUGCUUUCCCUCGCGCUGACCUUUCUCCUGCUGGAACAGAUGCAGCGGCUCCCUGAAUUUGGAUGUGCCUCCGCACGCACCGAAGCGCUCCGGCAGUUCUCAGCAAGCCUUUGUAAUGUGGCUUUAUAUGUCCUUUUUUAACCGUUCUUGAGUCAUUUUCCCACCUAAGCAUUUUUAAAGCAAUCGCCACUUAAUGCAUGCUGUGGGCCUCCCCAUGGAACAGAAAACCAGUGACAGAGAAAGGGCAUUAAAAAAAAAAAAAAGCAUCUCUGAAUAUUUUGUUCCUUUUUAUACAAAUGAUUAAUUAGGACUCCUUCUUUAUGGAAGCCAAAGACGCAUUUAAUUUGGGUUUUUAACAGAUGGUUAAU